AUCAACUUUCGAUGGUAGGAUAGAGNCCUACCAUGGUGGUAACGGGUAACGGGGUGUUAGGGCACGACACCGGAGAGGGAGCCUGAGAAACGGCUACCACAUCCAAGGAUGGCAGCAGGCGNNCAAAUUACCCAAUCCCGACACGGGGAGGUAGUGACAAUAAAUAACAAUACGGGGUUCUUUAGGAUCUCGUAAUUGGAAUGAGUACAAUUUAAAUCUCUUAACGAGGAACAAUUGGAGGGCAAGUCUGGUGCCAGCAGCCGCGGUAAUUCCAGCUCCAAUAGCGUAUAUUAAAGUUGUUGCAGUUAAAAAGCUCGUAGUUGAAUUUCGGGGUCAGUAGGUUGGUCGUGCCACCGGUACGUACUGGUCUCACUGAUUCCUCCUUCCUGAUGAGCUGUAAUGCCAUUAAUUUGGUGUUACGGGGAAUUAGGACUGUUACCUUGAAAAAAUUAGAGUGUUUAAAGCAGGCUCACGCUUGAAUACAUUAGCAUGGAAUAAUGAAAUAGGACAUCCGAUUCUAUUUUGUUGGUUUCUAGGAUCGAUGUAAUGAUUAAUAGGGAUAGUUGGGGGCAUUAGUAUUCAAUUGUCAGAGGUGAAAUUCUUGGAUUUAUUGAAGACUAACUACUGCGAAAGCAUUUGCCAAGGAUGUUUUCAUUAAUCAAGAACGAAAGUUAGGGGAUCGAAGACGAUCAGAUACCGUCGUAGUCUUAACCAUAAACUAUGCCGACUAGGGAUCGGAUGAUGUUAAUUUUUUAAUGACUCAUUNGGCGCCUUACGGGAAACCAAAGUGUUUGGGUUC
rnacentral:rRNA from 1 species